GUGAGUAACACGUGGGUGAUCUGCCCUGUACUUCGGGAUAAGCCUGGGAAACUGGGUCUAAUACCGGAUAUGACCCUCGGCUGCAUGGUGUAGGGUGGAAAGAUUUAUCGGUACAGGAUGGGCCCGCGGCCUAUCAGCUUGUUGGUGGGGUAACGGCCUACCAAGGCGACGACGGGUAGCCGACCUGAGAGGGUGACCGGCCACACUGGGACUGAGACACGGCCCAGACUCCUACGGGAGGCAGCAGUGGGGAAUAUUGCACAAUGGGCGAAAGCCUGAUGCAGCGACGCCGCGUGGGGGAUGACGGCCUUCGGGUUGUAAACCCCUUUCGACAGGGACGAAGCGCAAGUGACGGUACCUGUAGAAGAAGCACCGGCCAACUACGUGCCAGCAGCCGCGGUAAUACGUAGGGUGCGAGCGUUGUCCGGAAUUACUGGGCGUAAAGAGCUUGUAGGCGGUCUGUCGCGUCUUCUGUGAAAACUUGGGGCUCAACCUUAAGCUUGCAGGGGAUACGGGCAGACUAGAGUACUUCAGGGGAGACUGGAAUUCCUGGUGUAGCGGUGAAAUGCGCAGAUAUCAGGAGGAACACCGGUGGCGAAGGCGGGUCUCUGGGAAGUAACUGACGCUGAGAAGCGAAAGCAUGGGUAGCAAACAGGAUUAGAUACCCUGGUAGUCCAUGCCGUAAACGGUG
rnacentral:rRNA from 1 species